rnacentral:rRNA from 1 species
UACGUAGGGUGCAAGCGUUGUCCGGAAUUAUUGGGCGUAAAGAGCUCGUAGGCGGUCUGUCGCGUCGGAUGUGAAAAUCCAGGGCUCAACCCCGAGCCUGCAGUCGAUACGGGCAGACUAGAGUGCUGUAGGGGAGACUGGAAUUCCUGGUGUAGCGGUGAAAUGCGCAGAUAUCAGGAGGAACACCGGUGGCGAAGGCGGGUCUCUGGGCCGAUACUGACGCUGAGGAGCGAAAGCAUGGGGGAGCGAACAGG